CANUGGGGGAAACCCUGAUGCAGCGACGCCGCGCUGGAGGAAGAAGGUCUUCCGAUUGUAAACUCCUGUUGUUGAGGAAGAUAAUGACGGUACUCAACAAGGAAGUGACGGCUAACUACNUGCCAGCAGCCGCGGUAAAACGUAGGUCACAAGCGUUGUCCGGAAUUACUGGGUGUAAAGGGAGCGCAGGCGGGAAGACNAGUUGGAAGUGAAAUCUAUGGGCUCAACCCAUAAACUGCUUUCAAAACUGUUUUUCUUGAGUAGUGCAGAGGUAGGCGGAAUUCCCGGUGUAGCGGUGGAAUGCGUAGAUAUCGGGAGGAACACCAGUGGCGAAGGCGGCCUGCUGGACAUUAACUGACGCUGAGGCGCGAAAGCGUGGGGAGCAAACAGGAUUAGAUACCCUGGUAGUCCAAGGGCGAAUUC
rnacentral:rRNA from 1 species